rnacentral:lncRNA from 1 species
CACAUGCUAGGCAAGUGCUCUACUGCUGAGCCACAACCUCAGCCCAAGUUUAUUAUUUAAAUACUCCGUAUUUUUAUUCAUAGUAUAUCCUAGUGGGAGACUCAAAUAGAUGAUUUAUGAUGUGGAUUUGCUAAUUUUCCUUUGUGAUUUUACCAAUUAUUUUAGGUAUUUCAAAAUCAGGUUAGGGAUAUUUAAAUUCAUGAUCAUUCCAUCUGUCUGGCAUAUUACUUAGCAAUGUGAAAUGUCCUCUUUUGAUAAUUUUAAUGUUUUUUAUUUUCAAUUCUAUUUUGAUAUCAAUGGUGCCUCUACUUUCUUUUAGUAACUGGCAGCUAUAGGUUUUUUAAAUUUAUAUAUGACAGUGGAAUAUAUUAUAAUUCUUAUUACACAUAUAGAGUACAAUUUUUCAUAUCACUGGUUGUAUACAUAGUAUAUUCACACCAAUUUGUGUCUUCAUACCUGUACUUUGGAUAAUAAUGAUCAUCAUAUUCCACCAUCAUGAAUAACCCCAUGCCCCCUCCCUUCCCCUACAACCCCUCUGCCCUAUCUAGAGUUUGUCUAUUCCUCCCAUGCUCUCGCUCCCUAUCCCACUAUGAAUCAGCCUCCUUAUAUCAAAUAAAACAUUCAGCAUUUGUUUUUUUUGGGAUUGGCUAACUUUACUUAGCAUUAUCUUCUCUAACUCUAUCCAUUUACCUGCAAAGGCCAUGAUUUUAUUCUCUUUGAUUGCUGAGUAAUAUUCCAUUGUGUAUCUAUGCCACAUUUGUUUUUAUCCAUUCAUCUAUUGAAGGGCAUGUAGGUUGGUUCCACAGUUUAGCUAUUGUGAAUUGUGCUGCUAUAAACAUUGAUAUGGCUGUGUCCCUGUAGUAUGCUGUUUUUAAGUCCUUUGGGUAAGCUAUAGGUUUUUAUACUUUUGGUCAUCACAGUUUUUUAUUUUCUUCAGUAUGUGAAUAGAGUUUUAAAAAUACAACCUGAGAUUUUGCCUUUUAGGAAACAAAUUUUUCCAUAUUUAUUAUUAUUUAAAAAUAUAUAUUUAGAUCCCUUCUGCCAUCUUAUUGUGUGUUUUCAAUUUGUGAUCUUUUACCAUCUCAUGUUCUUUUGUUUCCCUCCCCAGGCUUGUAAUGAGUUAAUGGAAUGUUCUUUGCCUCUUUUUGUAAUGUACUGGUGGAAAUUAUACAUUCUACUUUUAUUUUUGCAGUGGGUAUGUAGAAUCUUUGUCUUAAGAGGCCACUUUUUUCCUAAUAGUAUCUGAAUUUAAUCACUUUAUUGUCUUCUUAAUUAGCCAAUUCUUCAUCAUCAUCUGCACUUCCACCUUAAAUAUCCCAUGCUGACAUAAUCUAUAAUUUUGGCACCAGAGUGUUUUUUUAAUUUUUAAAAUUUAUAUAUGACAGCAGAAUGCAUUACAAUUCUCAUAACACAUAUCUCUGGUUGAAUACAAAGUAUAUUCACACCAAUUUGUGUCUUUAUACAUGUACUUUGGAUAAUAAUGUCCUCACAUUCCACCAUCAUUAAUAACCCCAUCCCCCCUAUCUUCCCUUCCCACCCCUCUACUCUAUCUAGAGUUUGUCUAUUCCUUCCACACUUCCCAUUCCAACCCCACUAUGGAUCAGCCUCCUUAUAUCAGAGAAAACAUUCAGCUUUUGGUUUUUUGGGAUUGGCUAACUUCACUUAGAUUUAUCUUCUCUAACUCCAUCCAUUUACCUGUAAAGGCCAUGAUUUUAUUAUCUUUUAUUGCUGAGUGUCAGCAAUAUUUUUUUAAUCCAUUCAUCUUUUGAAGGACAUCUAGGUUGGUCCCACAGUUUAGCUAUUGUGAAUUGUGCUGCUAUAUACAUUGAUGUGGCUGUGUCCCUGUAGUGUGCUGUUUUUAAGUCCUUUGGGUAUAGACCAAGGAGAGGGACAGCUGGGUCAAAUGGUGAGUCCAUUCCCAAUUUUCCAGGAAAUCUCCAUACUGCUUUCCAGAUUGGCUGCACCAAUUUGCAGACCCACCAGCAAUGUAUGAGUGUACCUUCCCCCCCCCCCAUCCUUUCCAACACUUAUUGUGGUUUGUCUUCAUAAUAGCUGCCAUUCUUA